UACGUAGGCAGCAAGCGUUGUUCGGAGUUACUGGGCGUAAAGGGUGUGUAGGCGGUUGUUUAAGUUUGGUGUGAAAUCUCCCGGCUCAACUGGGAGGGUGCGCCGAAUACUGAAUGACUAGAGUGCGGGAGAGGAAAGUGGAAUUCCUGGUGUAGCGGUGAAAUGCGCAGAUAUCGGGAAGAACACCAAUGGCGAAAGCACUCUGCUGGGCCGAAACUGACACUGAGAGACGAAAGCUAGGGGAGCGAAUGGG
rnacentral:rRNA from 1 species